UGAGUACUUCCUCCGUUUCGAAUUACUUGUCACAGAUAUGGAUGUAUCUAGAUGUAUUUUAGUUUUAAAUACAUCUAUUUGUGCGACGAGUAAUUUGAAACGGAGGGAGUAGUAC
rfam:Triticum urartu cultivar G1812 contig1454214, whole genome shotgun sequence.